UUGGAUUUGAGGUCCUUGGUCCAAAAAAAUGAAAAUAGGUCAAGGUCAAAGGUCAAGGUCAUAUUCUAAAUUUUGAUUUUGGCUUAUUUUCCCUUAUUUUCAAAAACCUUAAAAGAUAUUGACAAAUUAUUUUUACUAAAUUGUUAGUUGCGACAUGUUGUAACUUAUAAAUUUUGGUUGGAAGGGUGCGUAAACAAUAAAUGAGAGUUUUCGCCCAUCUUAUAUUUAAAAUCAUGCCUAAAGUGAUAUAACUCAUUAACCAUACAUAUUACAGACCUAGGGUCUUUUUAUUUGAGGUCCUUGGUUGGUGACCUUGAAAUUGAGGUCAAGGUCAAAGGUUAAUAGGACGUUCUAGAUUUUGACCUUUGCUUUAAAUUCAUAUUUAUACAUUAUAAAGUCAUAGGAACUGACAUUUUAGAUUGAUUUUUAAUAUUUUGAUAAUAAAAUAGAUCUUUACUUGUGGAAAGACCUUCAAUUGUUCUUUGAACAAUUGGUUUUUAAUUAUUAUUUUUUUUUUCUUCCGCCUAAUUUUUUUCUUGCGUAGUAUUGAUGUUUCAAAAGAUGUCGCUUAGAUAUUUGGAAUAUGAUAUCUUAAAGUUUAUACGCUUUUAAAACUUUACAACUGCGUAACCAAAUACUUUACGUUGUAAGAGUUAUCUCCCCAAACACUGUUUUUCUUGUGGCCACUACUCCUUCGCAACCGUAAAAGAUUACGACAAAUUUAUUUUACCAAAUUGCUCGUUACAUCCUCAGGAUGUUCUGUUUUAUUUUGACCGAAGCCGUAUAGAGAUUCCAUAUGAGAGUUAGUUCCCCUUUUGUAUUUGAAAUUUUGAAAUGUAUUUUAAACUGGAAAACCAUAAGUGAUAGAGACCUAGGGUCUUUUGAUUUGAGGUCCUUGGUCCAAAAAAAUGAAAAUAAGGUCAAGGUCAAAGGUCAAGGUCAUAUUAUAAAUUUUGAUUUUGGCUUAUUUUCACUUAUUUUCAAAAGUCGUAUAACUUAUCGACAAAUUAUUUUUACUAAAUUGUUAGUUGCGACAUGUCGUAACUUAUAAAUUUUGGUUGAAAGGGUGCGUAGACAAGAAAUGGGAGUUUUCGCCCCUCUUAUGUUUAGAAUUAUGCGUAAAGUGAUAUUACUCAUAAACCAUACAUAUUAAGGAACUAGUGUCUUUAGGUUUGAGAUCCUUAGUCUAUGACCUUGAAAUUGAGGUCAAGGUCAUAGGUUAAUUGGACGUUCUAGAUUUUGACCUUUGCUCUAAAUUCAUAUUUAGACAUCAUAAAUCAUAGGAACUGACAUAUCAAC
rnacentral:lncRNA from 1 species